rfam:Pseudomonas agarici strain NCPPB 2472 genome.
CACUCCCUGGAGUACUUGCCAGUUGGUGAUGUCCCUGAGCCGAUUCGCACUACCCUGGGUGUUACACGUUGGGCCGGUGUGCAUGUCCGCUAGACGGAAAGCCUUAAGGUCUACUGUAACUUCCACCUUGAACUUUCGGGUUCAAGGGCUAAGCCGACAGCGCUACGUCGGGGAGCCU